UUGCUUCAGCAGCAGAUAUGCUAAAAUCGGAAUGAUACAGAGAUUAGCAUGGUCCCUGUGAAAGGAAAACCUACAUGGGAAAAGAAUCUGAAAAAGAACAA
rnacentral:snRNA from 1 species